GUUUAAAAUUCUGUUUCGCGCGCGUAGCUGAUGUUCCCGAAUGUGUGGACUGUGCACAGUAUUUAAGGGGCGUACAUUGUGGCACUGCCGGUUUCCGUUUUUCGAACGGAAACCUGCAUUUGAAAUGCCGCGCACUGACGGUGUAGAUAUCGGUUUGAAUAGCACGCCGGUGUUGACAUCUUUGAUUUCCGUCAACCCGUUGACAAGAUAUCCCGCGUUCGAGCUUUUGGCUAGGGGGAGUGUAGCGGAGCACCGUGAAACGUUACCCCGUUGUGCAUAAUCGACUGCGUUUAAUAUUACACCGGUCGAUCGAGUUGUAUCGAGCAAAAAUAUGGACGGGUAUUGAUUUAGCGAUUUCGACAAAAAUACCAACUGUUAAACUACGUUCGCCAGUAACGGACAUCCGACAUGCCAUUGUACUUACCUAAUGGGUAAUAUGAGUUUGAACAAUAUUCCACGGGGCGUGGGCACAGGCCACAAUUCGAUAAUUUUAUAUUUCGUCGGAACGUUUUUAUUAGACACUUGUCGUGUCGUAGGUAACCUAUCUACUUGAGUACAUUUCAGUUCGGAUUUCAGACAAUAACAGUGCACCGUAAUAAAAUCACCGAGUAAAAUCGAUUUUUAAUUAUAAUUUGUUUAUGAAUACACCGAUAGAAAAAAAAAAAAAAAAUCAAUAACAGCAUACCUAUUCAAUAUUGAAGUAAAUUAGAAAAUGUAUAAUCAAUCUCAGAAAAGGAAAACAGGUAGUAGGUAAUCUCCUAAUUUCUUGAUUUCCGAUUCAUGUAAGUUUAUUGAUUUUAAUAUUUAAAAAACAAUUUAUUCAAACAUACAAUAAUUACUAACAUUUAUGGAAACAUAGUAAUAACGUAUAAUUACUGUGUUGUUUGUAAAUUGUUACGUGUGGUAUCAAAAUAAAUAAUUUACCACUGUAAUCGAACUACGUAAAUUCAUGUAAAACCUACAAGUUGCUUAUAAGGUACCUAUAUGCUUUGUUUGAAGUGUUACUCAAUUGUAAUUUUUAUUCUUAAUUUUUUUUGUGC